AAGAGCCAAACAGCGUCUGACCGCACUGUAUUCUCUUGGAAUGGCUCCAAGAGUUUCCGGGAUUCUAAAUCACCAGGUCUUGGUUUUUCGUUGUUUUUGUAUGCCUGGAAGACUGAAUAGAAUUAUGUUUGUUUCUUGAUCCCUAACGAUACUUUUGAGUCAGAUAUUAUUUUUUUAAGGAUUUGAUUGAGUUAGUUCUAACAAUUGUGUUUUUUUCGUAUUUGAACCGCAUCUUGGACUUGGAUAUUGUUAAUGAAAUUGAGAAAACUCCAAUUGAUUUCUCUGCAUUGUUCAACUGGGAAUGUAUCUUGUGUUGGAAAAGUGGUGCUGAUUUGGUAUAAUUUUGAGUGUGUCCCGCUUAUUUUUUAUGGAAGAUCAAAGUUGAUUUGUGUUUUCCUCCUCAAGAGCAUCGUAAUCAUAAAUUUACUGCUCAAUUAGGUGUAGGAGGAAAAACUAUAUAAACUUGUCCUAUUUAGGAGAAAUAGUAAGGCA
rnacentral:lncRNA from 1 species